UCUGCCGCUUCUCAUGGUGAUACCCCUCUCCAUCCCCGUCGGGCCUGCGGUAGCCGCCGCGGAUCGUCCAUCGCCGGCCACCGACGCACGCAGUCAUCGCAGAGAGCACAGACGCAAAGAUAUCAGCAAUUCCGCGGUCGAUCGCCGCCAGUUCUGCCACCGUGAAGAGGCUCCGAUCGCCCCAGUUUCAGAGUCAUUGCUGCCGAGAGCGAGAAGGCGAAUGCAAAUUGCAGCAGCGGAGAGAGUUGAGAUUGGGGCUUCGUGGUUCUGAAAGACCAUAUGUUGUUAAUUAAUCAGCUUUGUUUUGAGUUCUCUACUGUUUUUUUUUUUUUUUUUUUUGGUGGGGGAUGCUUUUAGUGUGUCUGAAAGAGGAAGGAUCUGUCUGAAUAGGAACUGAUCUGGGUUUGAGGGGUUUGUUAUCUUUUCUGACUGGUGAUGGAGUUACAUGAUACUGUGGAACUCGAAUGUUUUGGAUAUAAUGGGAACGGAAUAUGCUGGAGGUGUCGAAGACUCUUUUGUUGCAUCUCUUCUUCAUUGGUUGUUUGCGUGGACAAAUAUGCUCGAUCGGUCUUUUUGAUGUACGAACUUUGGCUAGAAGAUUCGACUGAUUAAUGUCCGUGAUUGAAUGCU